AACUGUAUGAUACAUGAACAUUUAUAUGAUUACCAAAAAUAACGACCCGAUCAUAUACAAUGAUCUACAGAUUAUACAUGUUGUAGUGAGGAUUUUCUGAUAUAAUUUAAUUUUACACGUAUCUUAUCGUAAAUGAUUUAGAUAGUUAGCACCAACUCAAAAAUUAGGCUUUUUCUUUUUCAGUGCAUUUUUUUAGCAACAACGGCCAUUUUAGUUUUUGUCAAGUUUUUUGUCUUGAAGUCCACGGCGAUGUGCAAGGCGAUGUGGAUUUAUUUAAAUAGGAAAUUUGCAUGCCAAAAACUGCAAAAAUCGAAUUAUAAUACAUAAAUAACAGCUCCCACAAGGGAAAAAACGGUUCACCUUUACACUUGCGGAUUCAACUGAAACGCGAAAAAGGCUUGCAAAGAAACAUGCAGCUCCACCGAAACAUGUUAUUAGUCGCUGAUGCAAGAACAGGAUAUCCACUGAACAUGGACAAAGAUUUGGCACGACUAAGAAUCCUUUUAGAGGUAUUGUAUGAACCAGUCAGCGUAUACUAUGGCUAAAUAGUGCAUUUAUAAAAACAAAAUCAUUUGAAAAAUACGUCGAUUUUUUAGAUUUGUUCAGAAAAUGGAUAUAAUAAAUGUAUGAGAUAAU